rnacentral:rRNA from 1 species
AGUUGCAGGGUAUAGACCCGAAACCCGGUGAUCUAGCCAUGGGCAGGUUGAAGGUUGGGUAACACUAACUGGAGGACCGAACCGACUAAUGUUGAAAAAUUAGCGGAUGACCUGUGGCUGGGGGUGAAAGGCCAAUCAAACCGGGAGAUAGCUGGUUCUCCCCGAAAGCUAUUUAGGUAGCGCCUCGUGAAUUCAUCUCCGGGGGUAGAGCACUGUUUCGGCUAGGGGGCCAUCCCGGCUUACCAACCCGAUGCAAACUGCGAAUACCGGAGAAUGUUAUCACGGGAGACACACGGCGGGUGCUAACGUCCGUCGUGAAGAGGGAAACAACCCAGACCGCCAGCUAAGGUCCCAAAGUCAUGGUUAAGUGGGAAACGAUGUGGGAAGGCCCAGACAGCCAGGAUGUUGGCUUAGAAGCAGCCAUCAUUUAAAGAAAGCGUAAUAGCUCACUGGUCGAGUCGGCCUGCGCGGAAGAUGUAACGGGGCUAAACCAUGCACCGAAGCUGCGGCAGCGACACUGUGUGUUGUUGGGUAGGGGAGCGUUCUGUAAGCCUGUGAAGGUGUGUCGUGAGGCAUGCUGGAGGUAUCAGAAGUGCGAAUGCUGACAUAAGUAACGAUAAAGCGGGUGAAAAGCCCGCUCGCCGGAAGACCAAGGGUUCCUGUCCAACGUUAAUCGGGGCAGGGUGAGUCGACCCCUAAGGCGAGGCCGAAAGGCGUAGUCGAUGGGAAACGGGUUAAUAUUCCCGUACUUGGUGUUACUGCGAAGGGGGGACGGAGAAGGCUAUGUUGGCCGGGCGACGGUUGUCCCGGUUUAAGCGUGUAGGUGUGUGUUCCAGGUAAAUCCGGUUCACUUUAACACUGAGGCGUGACGACGAGGCACUACGGUGCUGAAGCAACAAAUGCCCUGCUUCCAGGAAAAGCCUCUAAGCAUCAGGUAACAUCAAAUCGUACCCCAAACCGACACAGGUGGUCAGGUAGAGAAUACCAAGGCGCUUGAGAGAACUCGGGUGAAGGAACUAGGCAAAAUGGUGCCGUAACUUCGGGAGAAGGCACGCUGACACGUAGGUGAAGUGAUUUACUCAUGGAGCUGAAGUCAGUCGAAGAUACCAGCUGGCUGCAACUGUUUAUUAAAAACACAGCACUGUGCAAACACGAAAGUGGACGUAUACGGUGUGACGCCUGCCCGGUGCCGGAAGGUUAAUUGAUGGGGUCAGCGCAAGCGAAGCUCCUGAUCGAAGCCCCGGUAAACGGCGGCCGUAACUAUAACGGUCCUAAGGUAGCGAAAUUCCUUGUCGGGUAAGUUCCGACCUGCACGAAUGGCGUAAUGAUGGCCAGGCUGUCUCCACCCGAGACUCAGUGAAAUUGAACUCGCUGUGAAGAUGCAGUGUACCCGCGGCAAGACGGAAAGACCCCGUGAACCUUUACUAUAGCUUGACACUGAACAUUGAGCCUUGAUGUGUAGGAUAGGUGGGAGGCUUUGAAGUGUGGACGCCAGUCUGCAUGGAGCCGACCUUGAAAUACCACCCUUUAAUGUUUGAUGUUCUAACGUGGACCCGUUACCCGGGUUGCGGACAGUGUCUGGUGGGUAGUUUGACUGGGGCGGUCUCCUCCUAAAGAGUAACGGAGGAGCACGAAGGUUGGCUAAUCCUGGUCGGACAUCAGGAGGUUAGUGCAAUGGCAUAAGCCAGCUUGACUGCGAGCGUGACGGCGCGAGCAGGUGCGAAAGCAGGUCAUAGUGAUCCGGUGGUUCUGAAUGGAAGGGCCAUCGCUCAACGGAUAAAAGGUACUCCGGGGAUAACAGGCUGAUACCGCCCAAGAGUUCAUAUCGACGGCGGUGUUUGGCACCUCGAUGUCGGCUCAUCACAUCCUGGGGCUGAAGUAGGUCCCAAGGGUAUGGCUGUUCGCCAUUUAAAGUGGUACGCGAGCUGGGUUUAGAACGUCGUGAGACAGUUCGGUCCCUAUCUGCCGUGGGCGCUGGAGAACUGAGGGGGGCUGCUCCUAGUACGAGAGGACCGGAGUGGACGCAUCACUGGUGUUCGGGUUGUCAUGCCAAUGGCACUGCCCGGUAGCUAAAUGCGGAAGAGAUAAGUGCUGAAAGCAUCUAAGCACGAAACUUGCCCCGA